UUAUACAGCGAAACUGCGAAUGGCUCAUUAUAUAAGUUAUCGUUUAUUUGAUAGUACCUUACUACUUGGACAACCGUGGUAAUUCUAGAGCUAAUACAUGCUAAAAAUCCCGACUCCGGAAGGGAUGUAUUUAUUAGAUUAAAAGCCAAUGCCCCCCGGGCUCUCUGGUGAUUCAUGAUAACUGCUCGAAUCGCACGGCCUUGCGCCGGCGAUGGUUCAUUCAAAUUUCUUCCCUAUCAACUUUCGAUGUUUGGGUAGUGGCCAAACAUGGUUGCAACGGGUAACGGAGGGUUAGGGCUCGACCCCGGAGAAGGAGCCUGAGAAACGGCUACUACAUCCAAGGAAGGCAGCAGGCGCGCAAAUUACCCAAUCCCGACACGGGGAGGUAGUGACAAUAAAUACUGAUACAGGGCUCUUUUGGGUCUUGUAAUUAGAAUGAGUACAAUUUAAAUCCCUUAACGAGGAACAAUUGGAGGGCAAGUCUGGUGCCAGCAGCCGCGGUAAUUCCAGCUCCAAUAGCGUAUAUUAAAGUUGUUGUGGUUAAAAAGCUCGUAGUUGAACCUUGGGCCUGGCUGGCCGGUCCGCCUCACCGCGUGCACUGGUCCGGCCGGGCCUUUCCCUCUGUGGAACCCCAUGCCCUUCACUGGGUGUGGCGGGGAAACAGGACUUUUACUUUGAAAAAAUUAGAGUGCUCCAGGCAGGCCUUUGCUCGAAUACAUUAGCAUGGAAUAAUGAAAUAGGACGCGCGGUUCUAUUUUGUUGGUUUCUAGGACCGCCGUAAUGAUUAAUAGGGACAGUCGGGGGCAUCAGUAUUCAGCUGUCAGAGGUGAAAUUCUUGGAUCUGCUGAAGACUAACUACUGCGAAAGCAUUUGCCAAGGAUGUUUUCAUUAAUCAGGAACGAAAGUUAGGGGAUCGAAGACGAUCAGAUACCGUCGUAGUCUUAACCAUAAACUAUGCCGACUAGGGAUCGGACGAUGUUAUUUUUUGACUCGUUCGGCACCUUACGAGAAAUCAAAGUGCUUGGGCUCCAGGGGGAGUAUGGUCGCAAGGCUGAAACUUAAAGGAAUUGAACGGAAGA
rnacentral:rRNA from 1 species